GACAGAGGGUGCAAACGUUGUUCGGAAUUAUUGGGCGUAAAGAGCUCGUAGGCGGCCUGUUGCGUCCGCUGUGAAAGCCCGGGGCUUAACCCCGGGUCGGCAGUGGAUACGGGCAGGCUAGAGGUAGGUAGGGGAGAAUGGAAUUCCCGGUGUAGCGGUGAAAUGCGCAGAUAUCGGGAGGAACACCGGUGGCGAAGGCGGUUCUCUGGGCCUUACCUGACGCUGAGGAGCGAAAGCGUGGGGAGCGAACAGG
rnacentral:rRNA from 1 species